GAUGAACGCUGGCGGCGUGCCUAAUACAUGCAAGUCGAGCGAGCGGACGAGAAGCUUGCUUUUCUGAUGUUAGCGGCGGACGGGUGAGUAACACGUGGAUAACCUACCUAUAAGACUGGGAUAACUUCGGGAAACCGGAGCUAAUACCGGAUAAUAUUUUGAACCGCAUGGUUCAAAAGUGAAAGACGGUCUUGCUGUCACUUAUAGAUGGAUCCGCGCUGCAUUAGCUAGUUGGUAAGGUAACGGCUUACCAAGGCAACGAUGCAUAGCCGACCUGAGAGGGUGAUCGGCCACACUGGAACUGAGACACGGUCCAGACUCCUACGGGAGGCAGCAGUAGGGAAUCUUCCGCAAUGGGCGAAAGCCUGACGGAGCAACGCCGCGUGAGUGAUGAAGGUCUUCGGAUCGUAAAACUCUGUUAUUAGGGAAGAACAUAUGUGUAAGUAACUGUGCACAUCUUGACGGUACCUAAUCAGAAAGCCACGGCUAACUACGU
rnacentral:rRNA from 1 species